UACGGGGGGAGCAAGCGUUGUUCGGAUUUACUGGGCGUAAAGGGCGCGUAGGCGGCCAGCACAAGUCAGUUGUGAAAUCUCCGAGCUUAACUCGGAAAGGUCAACUGAUACUGUGCGGCUAGAGUGCGGAAGGGGCAACUGGAAUUCUUGGUGUAGCGGUGAAAUGCGUAGAUAUCAGGAGGAACACCUAUUGCGAAGGCAGCUCGCUGGGACGUUACUGACGCUGAGACGCGAAAGCGUGGGGAGCAAACAGG
rnacentral:rRNA from 1 species